rnacentral:rRNA from 1 species
AAUGAACGCUGGCGGCAGGCCUAAUACAUGCAAGUCGAGCGAGCGGCGGACGGGUGAGCAAUGUAUGGGGACUGCCCGAUAGAGGGGGCAAACUACUGGAAACGGUGGCUAACACCGCAAACUACUGGAUAAGCCAUACGGGAGUAGCUAGUAGGUGGGGUAAAGGCUCACCUAGGCGACGAUCCCUAGCAGGUCUGAGAGGUUGAUCGACCACACUGGGACUGAGCCACGACCCAGAGGCCUACGGAGGCAGCAGUAGGAAAUCUUGCACAAUGGACGCAAGCCUGAUCCAGCCAUUCCGCGUGUUUGAAGAAGGCUUUAGGAUUGUAAAGUACUGUCAGCGGGGAAGCGUUAGCCGCAGAAAAAGCACCGGCUAACUCCGUGCCAGCAGCCGCGGUAAUAC